rnacentral:rRNA from 1 species
GGCGGCAGGCCUAACACAUGCAAGUCGAGCGGAUGAAGGGAGCUUGCUCCCGGAUUUAGCGGCGGACGGGUGAGUAAAGCCUAGGAAUCUGCCUGGUAGUGGGGGAUAACGUCCGGAAACGGGCGCUAAUACCGCAUACGUCCUGAGGGAGAAAGUGGGGGAUCUUCGGACCUCACGCUAUCAGAUGAGCCAGGUCGGAUUAGCUAGUUGGUGGGGUAAAGGCCUACCAAGGCGACGAUCCGUAACUGGUCUGAGAGGAUGAUCAGUCACACUGGAACUGAGACACGGUCCAGACUCCUACGGGAGGCAGCAGUGGGGAAUAUUGGACAAUGGGCGAAAGCCUGAUCCAGCCAUGCCGCGUGUGUGAAGAAGGUCUUCGGAUUGUAAAGCAGUUUAAGUUGGGAGGAAGGGCAGUAAGUUAAUACCUGCUG